rnacentral:tRNA from 1 species
GCCGCAGUGGUGGAAUGGCAGACACGAUGGACUCAAAAUCCAUUGCCUUCAAAAGCGUGCUGGUUCAAGUCCAGUCUGCGGCACCA